GUAAGCAAACGUUUAUGUCGCGUUUGAACGCGUUGACGCGGUCGAUUUGGUGCUUUGGUAGACGAUGGUCUGUCUAUACGGCUGAUUAAUAAUAAACGUGCGGAGAGCGGUGCGAGGCGGUAAAGCUGCGGUUUUUAUAAAACACUCAUUGCAAAUGAGGUGACUGUCGACAGCUAGUUGAAAAUACAAACCACUUUGAAUUGAGAUCAAGAAAU